GGGAUAGAGAGUAAAUAGUGACAGGUAGUGGCCGGGGGUACCCACCCACCCUGAAUUGAUUCAGUCUUCUCAUAUUUUUAUUUCUAUAAAUAGGCCCCCUCCACAAAUUAAUUAAUACUUGUAACCUCCCCAGCCCAACCCAAAACUUGCCCUAUACUACCACUUGCCUUCUUUCUGUGCAUUAAACACUCACCCACUCAAAAUUCAUUUUUUUUCCCUCCUGCAGCAGAUUUUUUGCUGUUAGUAUUAAUUAACAGUGUAUAUAUGUGGGUAUUUGAAUAGUGUGAGGAGGAAGAGGGGAAAAUGGAGUUGACAGAAGAUAGAGAGCACAUAUGAUGACAUGCUGCUGCUAAAUCUCAAGUCCAACAACAAAGCAUUUCAUUUCAUUUGUGCUCUCUAUGCUUCCGUCAUCCCCUGAACCUACUAAUUUUCCUCCUCCUCCUAAAUCAUCUUGUUCAAUUUUAGGUUUUCUUGUAAAUCCUUAUAUAACUUCAAUAAAAGGAGAGGCGUGGGGGUAUAGCUACCUCAUCAUUCACCCAUAAUUAGAUCUCUGCACUGAUCUGAUUUAUAUUAGUACUGUUAUUUUAUCUAUUUUUGAAACUGAUCGUUUGAAGGGAAGUCUUUGGAAGGGGAUGUUUAUGAACCUACCAAUUUUGUGCCUUUAAUUAAUGGCCACCAAAACUUGACCACUGGGAAUAUAUGGAAGAACUAAAAGCAACUAUCUUAGAUUAGGCUUCAACAAGAC